ACAAGUACUCAAUUAGAAAGGGGAAAGGACUGCCCUGUUUCUGGCUGAAUGCAAUGAAGAACAAUGACAUGCUAUCUGAGGAGAGCAGCCAAGUGUAGACUUCAAAAAGAUUAGUGCCUCAUGUUCACCAGUUCAAGGGUAGCAGCUCCAG